GAAUUCGCCCUUAGAGUUUGAUCCUGGCUCAGGACGAACGCUGGCGGCGCGCCUAACACAUGCAAGUCGAACGAGCGAGAGAGAGCUUGCUUUCUCGAGCGAGUGGCGAACGGGUGAGUAACGCGUGAGGAACCUGCCUCAAAGAGGGGGACAACAGUUGGAAACGACUGCUAAUACCGCAUAAGCCCACGGCUCGGCAUCGAGCAGAGGGAAAAGGAGCAAUCCGCUUUGAGAUGGCCUCGCGUCCGAUUAGCUAGUUGGUGAGGUAACGGCCCACCAAGGCGACGAUCGGUAGCCGGACUGAGAGGUUGAACGGCCACAUUGGGACUGAGACACGGCCCAGACUCCUACGGGAGGCAGCAGUGGGGAAUAUUGCACAAUGGGGGAAACCCUGAUGCAGCGACGCCGCGUGGAGGAAGAAGGUCUUCGGAUUGUAAACUCCUGUUGUUGGGGAAGAUAAUGACGGUACCCAACAAGGAAGUGACGGCUAACUACGUGCCAGCAGCCGCGGUAAAACGUAGGUCACAAGCGUUGUCCGGAAUUACUGGGUGUAAAGGGAGCGCAGGCGGGAAGACAAGUUGGAAGUGAAAUCUAUGGGCUCAACCCAUAAACUGCUUUCAAAACUGUUUUUCUUGAGUAGUGCAGAGGUAGGCGGAAUUCCCGGUGUAGCGGUGGAAUGCGUAGAUAUCGGGAGGAACACCAGUGGCGAAGGCGGCCUACUGGGCACCAGCUGACGCUGAGGCUCGAAAGUGUGGGUAGCAAACAGGAUUAGAUACCCUGGUAGUCCACACCGUAAACGAUGAUUACUAGGUGUUGGAGGAUUGACCCCUUCAGUGCCGCAGUUAACACAAUAAGUAAUCCACCUGGGGAGUACGACCGCAAGGUUGAAACUCAAAGGAAUUGACGGGGGCCCGCACAAGCAGUGGAGUAUGUGGUUUAAUUCGACGCAACGCGAAGAACCUUACCAAGUCUUGACAUCCUGCGACGGUGCUGGAAACAGUACUUUCCUUCGGGACGCAGAGACAGGUGGUGCAUGGUUGUCGUCAGCUCGUGUCGUGAGAUGUUGGGUUAAGUCCCGCAACGAGCGCAACCCUUAUGGUCAGUUACUACGCAAGAGGACUCUGGCCAGACUGCCGUUGACAAAACGGAGGAAGGUGGGGAUGACGUCAAAUCAUCAUGCCCUUUAUGACUUGGGCUACACACGUACUACAAUGGCGUUGAACAAAGAGAAGCAAGACCGCGAGGUGGAGCAAAACUCAGAAACAACGUCCCAGUUCGGACUGCAGGCUGCAACUCGCCUGCACGAAGUCGGAAUUGCUAGUAAUCGUGGAUCAGCAUGCCACGGUGAAUACGUUCCCGGGCCUUGCACUCACCGCCCGUCA
rnacentral:rRNA from 1 species